UACGUAGGGGGCAAGCGUUGUCCGGAUUUAUUGGGCGUAAAGAGCGUGUAGGCGGCCAGGUAUGUCUGCUGUGAAAACUCGAGGCUCAACCUCGAGACGCCGAUGGAAACCAUUUGGCUAGAGUCCGGAAGAGGAGAGUGGAAUUCCUGGUGUAGCGGUGAAAUGCGCAGAUAUCAGGAAGAACACCCGUGGCUAAGGCGGCUCUCUAGUACGGUACUGACGCUGAGACGCGAAAGCGUGGGGAGCGAACAGG
rnacentral:rRNA from 1 species